GGGCUGUGGGUCUCACUAUGUUUCCCAAACUGGUCUCAAACUUGUGGGCUCAAGCAGUCCUCCCACCUCAGCCUCCCAAAGUUCUCUUUGUAUAGUGGCAGUUUUCCGUCUGAAAGGAUUCUUCCUGUGUCUUCACCAAAGUAUGAGAUUAAUGGAAAUACACAAAACCCCAUUUCUGCACCACAAUUGAUGUUAGUCCAUCCUUGCAAAUGUCCAACAAUGGGAAGUGGUGAAAUUGUGGUACAUUUAUGCCAUGGAAUACUCUGGAACAAUUNNNNNNNNNNNNNNNNNNNNNNNNNNNNNNNNNNNNNNNNNNNNNNNNNNNNNNNNNNNNNNNNNNNNNNNNNNNNNNNNNNNNNNNNNNNNNNNNNNNNNNNNNNNNNNNNNNNNNNNNNNNNNNNNNNNNNNNNNNNNNNNNNNNNNNNNNNNNNNNNNNAUUACAGGCAUGAGCCACUGCGCCCAGCCAAUUUUUUGUAUUUUCUAAAAUGAGUAGAUAUCACUUAUGUAAUAAGAAAAAAUAUAUAUUUAAGUCUCUUCCUUAAUACACACAGAUAGGCAGGUGUGCAUUUCAGUCCUACAGCCAGUGUCUUAUUUGAUGGGAAAACCCUAGAGGCAUCCUUACUAAGAUCAGGAAUUAGAUAAAGACUUCACCAUCUCUUCCACCAUUUAAUUCUAUAUUGAAAGUACUAACCAAUGCAAUCAAUUUGUUAAAAAAAAAAUCAGGGGCAUAAGAAGUGGAAAGGGAGAAGAAAAACUAUCUCCUCUACUUACAGAUAGUAUUAUAGUAUACUUAGAAAACCCCAGAGAAUCCAUUAUAAAACUAACAUAAAUUUUAAAAGAGUUCAGUAAAAUAGGGGGAUAUACAAUUAAAAAACAAAAACAAUAACCUUCAUUUAUACAAACAAUAACCAACUAGAAGAUAUAAUGGAAGAAAGAGCCCCAUUUUUAGCAAUGACAACAAAAUUAAUACCUAAGACAAAUUUAAUGAAAAAUGUGCACAACGUUGUGAGGAAAAAAAUUUAAAAACUUUUUAUUUUUCAGAAACAGAGUCUCUCUCUGUCCCCCCAGAUGAAGUGCAGUAGCACAAUCAUAGCUUAUGAAGAAAUCUUUAAAACACUCCUGAAAACUCAAAAGUAGGCUUGAAGAAAACAGAAGGCAUCUCACAUUUGUGGAUAGGACAACUGGCCAGGAAUGUGACAUUCCGAAAGAAGCCAGUUCUCCCCAAGCUUGUUAUUUAUGUUUAAUAUUAUCCCCAAAACAUACUCCGCCAGGAGAAAAAGAAUCUGGCUCUGUUCUCAAUGACAUGAUCACUGCAGGAUAAAGCAAUCUCUCCUCCCUCCUGUGGCCAUCCUUCUCCAGCCCAAAGGAGUCCCUCAGAAACUUCGCAGCCUAGUGGAUGGCCCUUUCCCCAAUGCAUUCGUUCUCAAGAUGGGUGAUGACCAGUUACAUAAGUACAUAAUCACGAGACUGGAAGUGUGUUCUGUGCUUUGGGAUGCACUAAGUACUUUCAAAUCCACUCUCUCAGACCCAGGGUCAGCAUUAUUAUUUCCAUUUUACAUAGGAGGAAACGGGAGGAGGAAUAAGUGACUUGUCCAAGGUAACACAGCCAAAAAAUAGCCAGGGAUCAGUACUCAGACCCAAGUUGUGACUUCCUGUCAGGACCGAGAGGCAGCCUGCUGUGGCACAAAAGUUGGACCUGGGUUCGAGUUCUUCUCUUCCACUUGCAGGCUGUGUGAUUUAACCCCAGUCUUGGUUGUUCCCUGUAAAGUAGGAUGGAAGUGUUAUGAAAUGUAAUAGACACAUAAGCAAUGCUUGGUUACCAGAACAGAUCCCAUUCAUGGCCCACAUGACAACCUGCUUCCCCAGAGGGUAUUUUUGGAGACAGCUCUUCUGUUUCCAGGUUUUCUCUCCUGCCUAAAUGUCCUGCCUAAGUGCCUUCAAGAACCCUUCACCAUCCUACUCCUGCAUGUGACCAGGUUCCAUGGUCAGUUCAAUCACUUAGUCACAGUUGGUAAGUGACAGAGUUGGGACUUGAACCUAUGCCUGCCUGACACCAAGUCUUUUUUUGACACCUAGAGCCAAGACAUCUGCAGACAAACUCCCUAGGAGAGCUGGUGUCAUAGAAACCUUAAAGGUUAGGGAGACCUGGGUUGGAAUCAGGCUUUGUCAGUUAUGACUUGUGUGACCCUAGCAAGUUAUUUAACCUUUCUGGGUCUCAGUUUCCUCAUCUGCAAACUGAGGAUAAUAACAGUACCUACCAAAAAGAACUGUCAUGAAAACCAUAUAAUUUCUGCAAUGCUCCUGGCACAGUGUCCUGUUCUAAAGCAUAGUUCCGCUUCUCUUUCUUAGCUCCAUAUUGAUUAUUACCCUAACUUGCACAAAGAGACUUGGAGGAUCCCCAUAGAGUAUCGGAGGGUCCCCCAUUUCCUGCUCUUUCCACUCCACAGCCCCAGCAAGCACAGGGAAGUUCUGGGGGCCAUAAUCCACCCACAGGAACCAAAUCUAAGCCAUCUUUCUGGCUGGUAGACAUCCAGGUAUGUGGGCACAGAGAUAGACAGGCUGAAAUGCUGCUGUGCUAUCAGUUGGGUUUUGCUGGAACAGGAAUGGAAAUGGAGAGGCUGACAGAACUGCCCUGGGGAGCCCAGGCAAGAGGGACAGUGGCUGGACACCCCCAGCCAGUUGUGCAGACCAUCAGAACAAGAUCCUAGAUUUUAGGAAUACAGGGUUCAAGUCCGUGCGGCAACUCUUUUCUAAAUAUGCCCAAGCCGUUAACUUUGAGUUUUAAAAAUACUGAUUUACAAGCUGUACACAAUGAAAAAAUGCCUAUCCCUCACACCAUGCUGAUGCUGUUCCCUGCCAUCUCAGUUUACCAAUUAAAAUACAGAAUGCCCAAUUAAAUGUGAACUUUUUUUUUUUUUUUUUUUUUUUUUUGAGAUGGAGUUUUGUUCUUGUCGCUCAGGCUAGAGUGCAAUGGUGCGAUCUCAGCUCACUGCAACCUCUGCCUCCCGGGUUCAAGCAAUUCUCCUGCCUUAGCCUCCUGAGUAGCUGGAACUACAGGUGCCCACCAGCAUGCCUGGCUAAUUUUUUGUAUUUUUAGUAGAGAUGGGGUUUCACCAUGUUGGCCAGGCUGGUCUCGAACUCCUGACCUCAGGCGAUCUGCCUGCCUCAGCCUCCCAAAGUGCUGGGAUACAGGCGUGAGCCUAAAUGUGAACUUUUUUAAUACUAAAAAAGUAUUUGCUGUUCAUCUGAAAUUCACAUUUAACUGGGUGUCCUGUAUUUUUAUUUGCUAAAUCUGCCAUCAAAUUGGUCUGGCUCAACCUGGAGAAUGGCCAGGUGGUUUCAGUUUUACAGGCAUCCUGGGACGUGGUCUCCCUGCUCCCCUGAGUCCUCACCCCAGUCCUGGGCUCCCUGGCCCAGGCAGGCCCCAGAUAUUGACUUACCUGCCAGGUCGGCAGCUCCUCCUUGGGGCUACCUGGUACCUGAAUGUCCUGGAGCUCUAGAGGUUGCCUCCGCUGGAGGCGUGGUCCGGUCAGCAGGUUGGGAUUAGUGUGUCAUAAGGAACUUCUCACCGCCCACAGUUUCCGUUAAAUCGGGCUCACAGGAGGCCCUGAGUGGGGCAAAGGAAGACCCGGAGAGAAAGGGGAGAGGGGAGAGGCCUGGGCCUGGCUGGAGGCGCAUCAAAGCCCUCCUUUGUGUGCUCCUGCUCUGGAGUUCCUGCUCGGCCAUGUGGAAGCCUGGCUGUGGGGCUGGGAUCUGGGCCAGUCCCAUUCCCUCUUUUCUCUGCCCUCUUUCUCCUCAAGAUCCCGGGGUGGGGUUGCUGAGAGAGCACCCCCCACCACCACCACCACCAGGGUAAUAAGAGGUGAAGGGAAAUCGUAAAUAUGACUACAUCUACAGUGGCAGCUCUGGCAAAUCCAGGCCUAUUGCCCACCCCUGCCCCAGCCAGCAGGACCUGGCGUGGUAGUUUUCACCUCUGCAGUGAGUGGGGUCAGUUGGGAAAUGUGGCUGGUUAAGGCCAAGCAGGGAGAGGACAAGACAGGCUGAGCCUCCUUCUGGGCAGUGUGGUGCAGCGGCAUGCCCUGGAACCAGACUGCCCGCUUGUAAAGCCUCGCUCGAGUAUCUUCUGGCCGGGAAACAUGACUUCAAAACUCAUCGGCUCAGUUUCCUCCUCUAAGAAGAGUAGAAAACUAGAGGACCAGGCUCAUGACUUUAGUGCGGAUGAAAUGGCAGUAAAGUGCUUAGUUCAGGGGUUUAGCUGCCUGACAAUAAGUCCUCUGGAAAGGUCAGUUACUCCAAAUACAGUAUCAAUAGGUGCCUAACUGGAGGGAACUUAUUAUUCAAUCCUUUGUACAGGAAGAAACCCCUCUGCAGCCUCUCAACAGGUAACUUCCCAGCCUCUGUUUUGCUAUUCCACUGGAUGAGGAGGAGGUAAUUCCUGUAGAACAUUUUCUGUCUAGGAUUCCAAGGGCGGGAAGCUCCCUGUUUCCAUUACUGGGGAGCUCUCCUUGUUUAAAACCUCAUUGUUGGUUUGAGCCCCAAGCAGCUUCCUAUAAUGACCACCCUUGGUCCUGGUUUUGCCUCCUAGAGGUGCCCAGGACAAGGUCAAGCUCGCCUGCACAGGUCACUCUCCAGAAUCCAACCCCAGAAGUGCUUUUUUAUUUUCCCUGGACAUAGUUCUUGCUUUUCCACCCAUUCCUACUUUGGCAGGUUUGGGAUUUCUUCCC
rnacentral:lncRNA from 1 species